AAAUGCAAAUGGAGUGGGAGUGGUGGUGGCCGUGAUGGAGCGUACUGUGUGGGUGUAGGGGGAUUUGGGGAGAGGGUGUCGUGGGCAGUAAGUUUAAACAAAUUCAAGGCCAUUACUACCACUGCAGACCAAAAUAACUUAGGUCUGAGAGACCCCCUUAGAAAGAUACAAUGCCUUCCUCAUCUAAAGGGAGCUAAUACCAGAGUGAUCUCGGCGCUCGCGCAGUUUUGAGAGAGGGUCCCGAAAACCGCCGGAGGCCAGGUGUCGCGGACGGGCCCCGGGCUAAACUCUCGUCUGGCGAAGUGAAGAGCGCAAAGUCUCCAGGCCCAGCGCGCCUUCGCGGGGCAGGCCGGACACCCUAGCCCCGGGCCGGGCUCGCUCUUCUCUGAAGCCCUGGAGCGGGCAAGGGGCACCAUUCUGGCCACAGGAACUCUAGUUUCAGCAGCCGCAGCCCGCCAGCGCUGGCUCGGACCGGGGCCUCCUCUGGGAGAGUAGGAGAGCGAAAAAAUCAACCACCACCUUGGAUUUCAGAUCGAGGAAAGGAAGCCAAAGCAAAGGUGUGGUUACACAGGACAUCCAUAGACAAAUCGUUGCCUCUCUAAGUGGGCCUGAGCUUUGCGGCUCCAGAAGCGCGAGGCGCGGUUGGUGCGGACGCGGGGGCGUGGGAGUCAUCGCUCUCCCCGCAGCCCUGGCCGAGCUCUCUGCUGUCCUCCCGAGUUUGGGCCAGAGACCACGGCUCACUCCCUAACGCCCUCGCAAGGACGGCUGCCCGUCGGGCCAAGGGCGCCCCGGGCUGGAGGCCGGAGCAAGACGGCCCCGCGGGACUCGGGAGCCUUGGUAAGGCGGAGGCUCAGACCCCGUUCACGAAAACGCCUGGCUCCUCCAGGAUUUGUCAGGUCUUAAGCAGCUCCGAGAAGGCUCCGCUGGCUCUUGGGGAACCCCGCUGUGCGGCUCACCCCCGUUUGUCUCUCUCAAGCUCUCGCCCUCCUCCCCUGGUCCUCCCUUCUCCAGAUCCCCUGCCCUGCCCGAGGUCCGGGCCGCGCGGGCUGAGCCCAAUACGCCCGGAGAAGAGCGCCGGAGCCCCCUGCUGGCCGGACGCGGCAGGCGCGGCGGCCCGCUCGGUCCCCUCCGCCCCGCGGGCUCUGCCCAGCCCGGACCCGCCUCCACCCUCCAGUGCCCUGGCGCUGGGGGCGUGCUAAAAGCAACAGAAAACAAAACAAAAACAAACAAAGCGCCAAACCCCACUCUCACCUCUUCUACUGGUCAAAGAAAUUUGAGGAACUUAUAAUGAAACCAAGUAAUGAAUCACUAAAUAAUGAAAUCGCCAAAUAAUGAAAUCACCAACUGGAAAUUAGAAGUAAAUGGUCAUAGCAAACCCUAACCAGGCUGCUGAUUCGUGUUUUGGUGCAGAACAUUCGAUGCGCAGGAAUUCUUAAUGAUGUUAAAUAGAAGUUACCUAUUCUUAAAAGGAACAGAAGAAAAGGCAGAGCAUCUGGACACAGAUGUAGAGGUAAUCAAGUUACUGAGAGGACUUUCUAGGAGGGUUGAAAUAUGUCCACAGAGUUUUGGCUUGGGAUUGAAGAGCAAAGAGGAGAAAGGCUGCACUGGGA
rnacentral:lncRNA from 10 species